rnacentral:misc_RNA from 1 species
GCAAACUUGGUCAUUUAGAGGAAGUAAAAGUCGUAACAAGGUUUCCGUAGGUGAACCUGCGGAAGGAUCAUUACCGAGUUAUCACGUAAAGUGAAAACUUCCAAACCCUUGCGUAACUUUACAUGAAAUUCUAUACAAUGUUUCGGCGGAUUCGAUCAAGGGAUUUGAUUAGCUAACGGCGAAUCAAGUUUUUUGAAAGAAGCCGCCAGCAGUACAAAAUCUAAAAUUUCACGAAUUGUCCGAGUCAUUUUUAAAUAAAACAAAACUUUCAACAACGGAUCUCUUGGUUCUGGCAUCGAUGAAGAACGCAGC